CAAAAAAAUGAUUCGAGGCCUUCUUAGGUAUGACACAUUUAAAUUGUGUUCACUUUAUUUAAAUAUAACUAAUUGGGAAUAAUACAUGUAUAUAUUUAAUAAGUCUAACGUAAAAUGUAUAAAUAGUGUUAUCUAUGAGAUUUAUUUUAAUUUGCUUAACUCAAAUUAAUUUGGCUUCGGAGCGCGCCAUUUGCGCAUGUGCAAGACAAGCUCAGAGAAGAACAUGCACAGAGAGCGUGUGUGUCCGCCAUUUUCUCGUCUGCCGCCGAAAGGACUGCUAUGUCCUAUUCGUUAUUGGCCUGAUGAUCAACCUGACUGAAGAUACAGACUCUUUCUUCAAGGAGUAUGUGGCCACUGAGGAGAUUGUACAGAAGACAUCAGAGUUGUGAUUGAGGGCAUUAAGGUUUUGAGCAACCUAGACUGCGUGAUCCUGGCAUUCAUCAAUCAGUCUCAUUUAUGCUCUUGAUCUUAGUUCUCCUGAAAACCUAAAGUACACCUUCGAGUUUAUCCAGAAAACCUAAUGAACUUUGAUGGACUUGAAUGCAAAGAUCCUGCAACUCAAAGUCAAGCUGUUUGCAUGAGAUGUGCAAUAAUGUGAAUUAUUUGAAAAUACAUGCAGGUGAGCACACACACAGAAGUACAUUUCCUUUUUAUAAAUUCUUACAUGCUUUUUUUUUUUUACACACUUUUUGUGUAUUUCUUGUUAGUCAUUUAUGUCUUUUUAGGGAUAGUUCACCCAAAAAUGAAAAUUGUCAUCAUUUACAGAUCCUGGGGUUGUUCCAAACCUGUAUAAAUGUCUUUAUUCUGUU